rnacentral:rRNA from 1 species
CCUACGGGCGGCAGCAGUGGGGAAUAUUGCACAAUGGGCGCAAGCCUGAUGCAGCCAUGCCGCGUGUGUGAAGAAGGCCUUCGGGUUGUAAAGCACUUUCAGCGGGGAGGAAGGCGGUGAGGUUAAUAACCUCAUCGAUUGACGUUACCCGCAGAAGAAGCACCGGCUAACUCCGUGCCAGCAGCCGCGGUAAUACGGAGGGUGCAAGCGUUAAUCGGAAUUACUGGGCGUAAAGCGCACGCAGGCGGUCUGUCAAGUCGGAUGUGAAAUCCCCGGGCUCAACCUGGGAACUGCAUUCGAAACUGGCAGGCUAGAGUCUUGUAGAGGGGGGUAGAACCCCAGGUGUAGCGGUGAAAUGCGUAGAGAUCUGGAGGAAUACCGGUGGCGAAGGCGGCCCCCUGGACAAAGACUGACGCUCAGGUGCGAAAGCGUGGGGAGCAAACAGGAUUAGAUACCCGUGUAGUC